GGGAGGCAAACACACACACAUGCCCGGUACACUCGAAGGAAAGAAGUUGAAAAUAUCUGAAAGCUAGACAUGGCUGGAGGUAGGCUUAUUUUUAUUUGUCCUCCUCAGAAUCAGUUUUUGUUGAAAAGGAAAAAAAAAAUCAUGAAGAAGGCAAGGAGAGGCAGAACUACUUUGAAUUUAAAGUAUUCUUUUUCUAAGAGAAGAAAGUAAGUUAAAACUUCACUUAUUAAGUCUACUCAGGAAGAAGAUCAAAGUUCAAGAAAGCAACCCCAGCGCAGUAGAACCAGCAUUUAGACGGGAAUCUAGAGAUGCAAGAUCUGCCCCAGCUCUGCCAUUAACUUGGGUACACUUCUCCUUGCUUCCCCUUCUGAACCUGUUUUCUCAUCAGUAAUGGAACAGGUCAAUCUCAUAAAUACCUUUUCAUUCACCCAAA